GAUCUUGUUUUUCUGAUCUAUACUUGCCCCUGAUGGUGAAAUCCCAGCAGCGAUGUGCUGAUUUUUGUUGAUUUUUGUGUGUAAAUAUUGUAUUCUGGGAACUUGUGAUUGACAGUAGUGAGUGUAGAUAUAAAUACAAUCAAGGCAAACGUAACAAAAACUAGUUCUUGCGUAUGGUUCUGAAUUUGGACUGUGACCGGAACCGAUAUUGCGCAAGUAUUGGUCAAUCUUUAAAUGCUAUGUUGUGACAUUGUAAACCAAUUUAGUACAGUCUCAUUGUCGGUCUUUAUCCAGGCACUCGGUGAUUUGGAGCAGGACCCGGUGGCCAGCAUCUAUGUGGAGAAGCUGAUGUCUGGUGUUGUCCGUGUGGAGCUGCAUGCUGGAAGCGAGGUUCUCAAGUCAUGGCCUUCGUUCAAGCAGAAGCGCAAGAAGCUCAUUCCCGAGGAGGGUGGAGGCACGAGGAUGAGGGAGGACUGGCAUCUUGGCAAUAAUUGAUUUCUCAAUGUUAUCCUGCAGGUAUGUCUUACUUUCCAAUGAAUUUAUAUUCGGGUGUGCUUCAUGUAUGUGUAUCAUCAUUUGGUUUGAGUUCAUACUAAAUCAGAGAAUGUUUCCUUGACUACCACUUGCUGUAUAUGAUUCUUGCGGAUUCAUGGAGAUCAUCUAAUGGAUAUGCUCAUAGCUCUGGAUAUGUACAUCAUCUAUCUCAUCCAGGUAAUGAGUUAAAUGUCAAAUGUCUCCGGUGGAGGAAAGAGGAGGCGGCGCGGUGCAGCAGCCAUGGCGGCGCAGCUGGCCGGCUCGUCGAUGCUAUGUGCGUUGAUUCGACAGCUCACGCGACUCCGUCGAUCCCACCAGUCUGCGUCGUGCGCGUGGAUAGGGAGCGCGGUGCGUACGGUACUGUAGGCAGCCGCGCGGGCGCUGGCGACCAGCAGGUCGAGCUGCUUGUCCCGGAGACGCCGCCGUCCAGGGCCUUGUCGGCGUUGGCUCUAAAUUUGUUAAGUGUUGUGUUUUUUUACAUGGACCUUUUUGUUGCUACCGCUAUUCUGAAAUAUAAGCAGUUUUUAAAUAGAGUGUGAAUUUUUUAUUCUA